rnacentral:rRNA from 1 species
AUUGAACGCUGGCGGCAGGCCUAACACAUGCAAGUCGAGCGAGCGGCGGACGGGUGAGUAAUGUCUGGGGACUGCCCGAUAGAGGGGGAUAACUACUGGAAACGGUUGCUAAUACCGCAUACUAUCGGAUAACCCAUAUGGGAUUAGCUAGUAGGUGUGGUAAAGGCUCACCUAGGCGACGAUCACUAGCUGGUCUGAGAGGAUGAGCAGCCACACGUGGACUGAGACAAGGCACAGACUCAAAGGGAGGCAGCAGUGGGGAAUAUUGCAAAAUGGGCGCAAGCCUGAUGCAGCCAUGCCGCGUGUAUGAAGAAGGCCUUAGGGUUGUAAAGUACUUUCAGCAGGGAGGCGUUACACGAAGAAGAAGCACCGGCUAACUCCGUGCCAGCAGCCGCGGUAAUAC